rnacentral:rRNA from 1 species
AAUCAUUAGUCUUUUAAUUUGAGACCGGAAUGAAUGGUUCAACUUAUUAAUUUUGUCUCAUUUUGAUACUUUGAAUUUUAUAUUUUAGUAAAAAAGCUAAAAUUUUUUUUAAAGACGAGAAGACCCUAUCAAGCUUUAUAAUUAACUUUUAUUAUCAAAAUAAAAUUAAAAUUAUUUUACUGGGGCAGUAAAUGAAAAAUUUUCAUUUUUUUAUUAUGAUGAAUGAAUCUUGUUAAACCAAAAAUUUUUUAAAUAAUAAUAAGUUACUGUAGGGAUAACAGCAUAAUUUUUUUAAAGAGAUCUUAUCAUCAAUAAAGUUUAUGACCUCGAUGUUGGAUUAAGAGACCUAAUUUACGCAAUAGUA